AUCUGGCUGGCUCAGUUGAAGGAGCAUGAGACUCUUGAUCUCAGUGCUGUGGGUACAAGCCCCACACUGGGUG
rnacentral:tRNA from 1 species